AGAGUUGAUCCUGGCUCAGGACGAACGCUGGCGGCGUGCCUAACACAUGCAAGUCGAACGGGACCGGGGGCAACUUCGGUUCAGUGGCGGACGGGUGCGUAACACGUGAGGAACAUGACCUUCGGCGGGGGAUAGCCGGCCCAACGGCCGGGUAAUACCGCGUACGACCAUUUGGGGACAUCCCUGAGUGGUGAAAGCAGCAAUGCGCCGAUGGAGUGCCUCGCGGCCUAUCAGCUAGUUGGUGGGGUAACGGCUCACCAAGGCAACGACGGGUAGCUGGUCUGAGAGGAUGGCCAGCCACAUUGGGACUGAGACACGGCCCAGACUCCUACGGGAGGCAGCAGUGGGGAAUAUUGCGCAAUGGACGAAAGUCUGACGCAGCGACGCCGCGUGUGGGAUGACGGUCUUCGGAUUGUAAACCACUGUCGGGAGGGACGAAUACGCCGCAAGGCGGGUGACGGUACCUCCAAAGGAAGCACCGGCUAACUCCGUGCCAGCAGCCGCGGUAAUUC
rnacentral:rRNA from 1 species